UUGAGGCGGAAACCAAAUAAACGAAGUUUAUUUAUUAAGAUGUUUCCGACGACUUGCCGCCGACCUAAGGAGGGGGCGCUACAUUAA
rfam:Eubacterium sp. CAG:161 genomic scaffold, scf263